CAUUUAACAUCAUAUGAGACUUGGACAUUGGUCAUUAAGGCAUUCAUAGCACACUUUUUUUUUUGUACUUUCCAUUUGCUGCUGUAUGCUUGUCUCUGAUUCUUAGCAGGCAAAAGGGAAAUGAUCAAUCUUUUUUGAAUGAUUUAAGAAACUUGAUCUGUUUUAAGGAACUUUCAAACUCAAUUAUCAUCUUCUCCAGCUGAUCAUAGCAUUAUGGAGGUGCAGAAAGAUAAAAGCAGUGCAGGACCCUCAGCCAUGGCCUGCAAGCUUUGAAGCCCACUCCCACCAGGUUUUUGUAGAUUCUCGAAGAGUAGCAAAAGCUCACACGAAACUACUCGGUUUGUUUAACCUUUAAAUCACAUAUUCUCAUUGCCUAUUAAGCUUCAAUAAUUCAUGCAAAUUUCAUUUCCAUUUUCGGUGUUUAGCUUUUUCAUUACUAUUGCCUCCUUAUUCUUUCGAUAAAUCUUAAGUUUGAAGCUUUGUUUCAUCGUAAAUAUUAAUGUUUAUCGUGAAUUAACGAGAAAAGUGUAAGGAAAAUCCACGUGGCAUAGUAGUUGGACAAAUACAUAAAAGGUCAUUUCAAAGGGCAAGGAUUGUGGAUCCUUUGAGAUUGAGCUGUCUGGGCAAAGCAAUGUGAAGUGUUUCCCACAACAAUUUCUUCCUACUCCUCCCAUACUAUAAACUUCUCCAUGCAACCAAUCUCUUUCCACAGAUACUCAAAUCACACAAAAAUCUUUUCGGAAA